rnacentral:snoRNA from 1 species
GAGGUUUGGGGCAGAAGCUGCAGCGCGUCUCUGCCGUGCGCUGCAGCCGGCCUGGAAGAACCGAGACUACAACAGGAAAAGGCGCAGCCUGUCCUGGCAGUUGCAGGUGUGAGCAUCCAUCCAGCUGUUUGGUGCUCUUGUAUGAUGCUGCAAACAAAC